UGCAACGAGUUCGUUUCGACUCGUGGAUCGAUCGUUUCACCGUACUUUUCAUGAUUUCUCUGUCGAAACAUAUCGUGUAUCACGCGAGUGCUGAUCGGAAAUUGGAAGCGAUUGUUGGUGACGCAAUAACUAAGACAUCGGGACUGUAAUUAAUCACUUUUUCGCGAUAUUCCGAUCGCAUAUAAGUGAUGCCGCGAAGCGAAUCGCGCAUGCGCGUCCGCCAUGUUUAAGCGCGCUACAAAAUUAGAUCGCGCGCAUGCGCGUCCGCCAUGUUUGAGCGUGCCGCAAAGUGGAUCGCGCAUCCACCUACUAAAUUUUCAAACAUAAUUUAAAGUAAUUUAUUAGAGAGAGAAAGAUCUACAGAGAAACCUACAUUAAUCCUAAUAUCGUCUGGAUUUGGCAAAAUACAACUUUAUGCGCGUUUUAACUCUUCCCAAUGAAAUAUAAACAGGUAAAAUUGGACGAACCAGAGGUGGAUCAAGUUGUCAUUGAAAUUAUCAAUAAAACCAGCUAUUAGUCAACUAUGAUCAGAGAUUGAAAUCAGCGCAAUUUCGCUGUUCAUCAGUUAAAACGAAUCGUGCUGCGAGUAAAGAUCAGCUGAUUCCAGCCGGCGUUGUCAGCUGAGAACAACGGCUCGAACGAUCGAAGAACGGAGACGGACGUUUCAAAAACAGGAUUGAGAAAAUGAGCAAUUGGAAAGGGAACCGGCGACAGAAUCGAGUACUUACCUCUAGUGUUG